rnacentral:rRNA from 1 species
UAGGGAAUCUUCCACAAUGGGCGAAAGCCUGAUGGAGCAACGCCGCGUGUGUGAUGAAGGGUUUCGGCUCGUAAAACACUGUUGUAAGAGAAGAAUGUCAUUGAGAGUAACUGUUCAAUGUGUCACGGUAUCUUACCAGAAAGGAACGGCUAAAUACGUGCCAG